rnacentral:tRNA from 1 species
GGUAAUAUAUUUUAUAAUAGAAAAGUUAGUUUGCAACUAAAGAGAAGAAUAUUCUUUUUACCU